UACGUAGGGUGCAAGCGUUAAUCGGAAUUACUGGGCGUAAAGCGUGCGCAGGCGGCUUGCAAGACAGAUGUGAAAUCCCCGGGCUCAACCUGGGAACUGCAUUGUGACUGCAAAGCUAGAGUACGGUAGAGGGGGAUGGAAUUCCGCGUGUAGCAGUGAAAUGCGUAGAUAUGCGGAGGAACACCGAUGGCGAAGGCAAUCCCCUGGACCUGUACUAACGCUCAUGCACGAAAGGCGUGGGAGCAAACAGG
rnacentral:rRNA from 1 species